rnacentral:miRNA from 1 species
AAACUGGAUCAAUUAUAGGAG